GAUGAACGCUGGCGGCGUGCCUAAUACAUGCAAGUCGAGCGAACAGACGAGGAGCUUGCUCCUCUGACGUUAGCGGCGGACGGGUGAGUAACACGUGGAUAACCUACCUAUAAGACUGGGAUAACUUCGGGAAACCGGAGCUAAUACCGGAUAAUAUAUUGAACCGCAUGGUUCAAUAGUGAAAGACGGUUUUGCUGUCACUUAUAGAUGGAUCCGCGCCGCAUUAGAUAGUUGGUAAGGUAACGGCUUACCAAGGCAACGAUGCGUAGCCGACCUGAGAGGGUGAUCGGCCACACUGGAGCUGAGACACGGUCCAGACUCCUACGGGAGGCAGCAGUAGGGAAUCUUCCGCGAUGGGCGAAAGCCUGACGGAGCAACGCCGCGUGAGUGAUGAAGGUCUUCGGAUCGUAAAACUCUGUUAUUAGGGAAGAACAAAUGUGUAAGUAACUAUGCACGUCUUGACGGUACCUAAUCAAAAAGCCACGGCUAACUACGUG
rnacentral:rRNA from 1 species